GUGGGGAAUAUUGCACAAUGGGGGAAACCCUGAUGCAGCGACGCCGCGUGAGUGAAGAAGUAUUUCGGUACAUAAAGCUCUAUCAGCAAGGAAGAAAAUGACGGUACUUGACUAAGAAGCCCCGGCUAACUACGUGCCAGCAGCCGCGGUAAUACGUAGGGGGCAAGCGUUAUCCGGAUUUACUGGGUGUAAAGGGAGCGUAGACGGUAUGGUAAGUCAGAUGUGAAAGCCCGGGGCUCAACCCCGGGACUGCAUUUGAAACUAUCAGACUAGAGUGCAGGAGAGGUAAGUGGAAUUCCUAGUGUAGCGGUGAAAUGCGUAGAUAUUAGGAGGAACACCAGUGGCGAAGGCGGCUUACUGGACUGUAACUGACGUUGAGGCUCGAAAGCGUGGGGAGCAAACAGGAUUAGAAACCCCAGUAGUCC
rnacentral:rRNA from 1 species